UCGGCGCACGGGAGAAACAGCGUUGCCUCUGAGGCAAUCCCUUCGGUGGGUCCUGGUGGUCCUUCCCCUCCGCGCUCCGCCGACGUAGUGUGUACCGAGCCCUGCUUGGCGGGUCGGGCCAGGACGACGGUCUUUGCCAAUCUCUCAAGGUUAGGUGCUCUGCAGAUGGACGCAAAGGUAAACUCGAUGUCAACGCGAGGCUCCGCCGACGGCGGGUGCUAACCGCGGUGGUGCCCCGCCCUUCUCAUCCACACCCGAGAUAGCGGCCCUGUAUGGUCGGGAGCACUUAGCAGCUUAGCACCCGCCGUGCUGCGGCUCCUGAUGCUGCUGCUGCUGCUGCUGCUGCUGCUGCCGCCGCUGCAUGGCCACUUGCAGGCACUCAGCGUUAUUCCGAGGACAAAGUUUUUAAGGGCGGAUGGCUUGUUUUCUUCCACACUGCUGUUAAAGAAGAGGGGAGUGAGGAUGCCUCUUACUCGACGAGAUCAGCAGCAGAUUAUACUUCAACACCAUCAGCCGACUGCUGACAUUUUUAUCCCCACCAACGUUUCCCGUCCAUCGGCUUUGGCUUCCGGCUCGACCCCGCCACGGGGGCAGUAUCAAUCACUGGGACAGACUGCGGCUGCGGCCUGCUUCGACUGUGAUUCGACUCGACUGGAACACGAGCAGCCAUCGCUUGGAACAGGAGGACAGGGUCGCCUAUUUCCUCGCCAGUAGAACGCAGUGGCGACUUCGAGGAUAGCCGAUGGACAGAACGAGGAUCCCAGGCACUAUGGACGCAGAGUUACUUUCCUUGCCGGUGAGGAUCGAGGACCCCCGACGCGCGAGCGGUCGGGCGCCCGUGAGGUAGGCCGUCGUGCGGCGUGGGUGUCUUGCGGGUCGGCCUACCCCGGACUUCGCAGGCGCCGUGGUCCAGAUGAGCCGCCGCGGGACGAGUCCACAGCAGCCCAGGUCAUAAAACUUGCAACGCGCUGCUUGAGGUGUGGCCCUGCGGCCCGCUGCCGGACAAGUUGACAUGCGAGGGCCCCCCGGAGGACGCCGGUGGUGGCGGGGCGGGCCAAGGAGGAGCCGAGGUCGUGCAUCUGGGGCCGCGUUGGCGUUCGGGCCGGGGCACAGAAAGGAUACAUCGAACAGAGCAGCCGGUAUCCUCCGAGCGCUCGCCGUCGGCCGAGGCGAUUAGAAGGAAGACUUGCGAGGAGACAGAAGUUUGUGGCUCGCCCGUCGUCCUGUGCUGCUCUGCGCCGCAAUUAGCGACGAGUAUUGGCACUGCGGCUGCGGGAGGCCCGGGGCCGCCCGGCCGGGCCUCUACACCACCGCUCUGCGCAGCGCGGCGAGACGCCCGACUUGGCCGCCGCACCCGUCUGCUCGGGAGGUAAGUUU